rnacentral:rRNA from 1 species
CUGCCAGUAGUCAUAUGCUUGUCUCAAAGAUUAAGCCAUGCAUGUCUCAGUACAAGCCAAAUUAAGGUGAAACCGCGAAAGGCUCAUUAAAUCAGUUAUGGUUCCUUAGAUCGUACCCACAAUUACUUGGAUAACUGUGGUAAUUCUAGAGCUAAUACAUGCAAACAGAGCUCCGACCGGAGACGGAAGGAGUGCUUUUAUUAGAUCAAAACCAAUCGGUGGCGAGUUCGCUCGUCAUCGUACAACUUGGUGACUCUGAAUAACUUUACGCUGAUCGCACGGUCUCGCACCGGCGACGCAUCUUUCAAAUGUCUGCCUUAUCAACUGUCGAUGGUAGGUUCUGCGCCUACCAUGGUUGUAACGGGUAACGGGGAAUCAGGGUUCGAUUCCGGAGAGGGAGCCUGAGAAACGGCUACCACAUCCAAGGAAGGCAGCAGGCGCGCAAAUUACCCACUCCCGGCACGGGGAGGU